AUUCAGUGAUCAGGACUGAACACACAGGAAUCACCAUGGAGUUUGUGCUGAGCUGGGUUUUCCUUGUUGCUAUAUUAAAAGGUGUCCAGUGUGAGGUUCAGCUGGUGCAGUCUGGGGGAGGCUUGGUACAGCCUGGGGGGUCCCUGAGACUCUCCUGUGCAGGCUCUGGAUUCACCUUCAGUAGCUAUGCUAUGCACUGGGUUCGCCAGGCUCCAGGAAAAGGUCUGGAGUGGGUAUCAGCUAUUGGUACUGGUGGUGGCACAUACUAUGCAGACUCCGUGAAGGGCCGAUUCACCAUCUCCAGAGACAAUGCCAAGAACUCCUUGUAUCUUCAAAUGAACAGCCUGAGAGCCGAGGACAUGGCUGUGUAUUACUGUGCAAGAGACACAGUGAGGGGAAGUCAGUGUGAGCCCAGACACAAACCUCUCUGCAGAAUGCUUGGGGGAAAUCAGCUGCGGGGGGCACACAGGACCCACUGAUCAGAGUCAUCCCCAGAGGCAAGUUGCAGAUGGAGGCUGGUUUCCUGUCAGGAUGUGGGACUUCAUCUUUUUAGAGUUUCUCUAGGGAAUCUCUCUAAGUUCAGAAUUCUGUGCUUACCAAUGUCAUCUCUACAUAUUUUUAAAAUGAUUAUUUUAAUAUGAAAACCUAUUCUCCUAUGCACAAAACACAGAUUGAUGCUUACAGAGAUGAAAAGCCCUCAACCAUUGUCACCAGGAUCAGAGUAUUGAGGAAACUCAGGGAUACCUGGUGAGUCUUCUCCAGUCAGACUCAGGACAGAAACCUCAGUGAGAUUCCCUGACUAGGACGGUCUUUAGGAAUUGUGAUCACAGCCAAUAGAGUCUGGGCCAGGGUCAGUGUCGUGUAGAACCUCACAGUUUUCAUUCCUGACCCUUCUCCUGACACUAAAGUAUGCAACUUAGUAUCAGCACUGAUCUGGGGCCCCUUUUGCUCUUAGCCCACUCUAUUUCUUUUUAUUUGUUGUUGUUGUUCUUGCUCUUCCUUGUGCUGUUCGUGCUUCCUGUAAAGUGGGGAUGUGGUUCUUGCUGCCAAAGCUCGAGGUCUCAAGCCCAUUCCCUGCAGCUGAGGUGGGGCUCAGGCUGUGGCUCCUGCAGCCAUGUGGGAGAGGCUGAUAGGACUUUUCUCUCUCCCAUUGCUCAGCACCCUCCAGUGUGUCAUGUGGAGACUCACCUGGGAAUGCAAGUGGCCAACAGUAGUGAAGAGGAUGAGCUUGUGUGGUCAAAAUGGGAUGUGGAUGUGAAAUUUAUCCUGUGCUGUGCAAAGUACCACAGAGUGAGUCACCUUCCUCACCAGUAGUGUUAGAAAGAGGGUGUGAAAGUUGUCAGAAUCAAAAUAGAUCCACUUGUGUUAAAACCCUGACAAAAGGAACUAGGAAUGACCAUGAAGGAGGUUUCCCAUGCACAUACUCCUGAUAACAAGAACGACCAUGAAUGGAUUCUGCUUAACCACAACCUUUGAUAGAAGCCACCAUGACCUUAUAAA